rnacentral:rRNA from 1 species
AGUGAACGCUGGCGGUAGGCCUAACACAUGCAAGUCGAACGGCAGCACAGUAAGAGCUUGCUCUUACGGGUGGCGAGUGGCGGACGGGUGAGGAAUACAUCGGAAUCUACUUUUUCGUGGGGGAUAACGUAGGGAAACUUACGCUAAUACCGCAUACGACCUACGGGUGAAAGUAGGGGAUCUUCGGACCUUGCGCGAUUGAAUGAGCCGAUGUCGGAUUAGCUAGUUGGCGGGGUAAAGGCCCACCAAGGCGACGAUCCGUAGCUGGUCUGAGAGGAUGAUCAGCCACACUGGAACUGAGACACGGUCCAGACUCCUACGGGAGGCAGCAGGGGGGAAUAUUGGACAAUGGGCGCAAGCCUGAUCCAGCCAUACCGCGUGGGUGAAGAAGGCCUUCGGGUUGUAAAGCCCUUUUGUUGGGAAAGAAAAGCAGCAGGUUAAUACCCCGCUGUUCUGACGGUACCCAAAGAAUAAGCACCGGCUAACUUCGUG